CAAGGCUCUUUAUCAGUUCCAUCAAAACUUUUAGCUGGCCGCAAGCAUGCAUUACGAAGACGAUGAUGAGACCAUAUAUACUUGUCGCGAUCGAUAUAGUGACUACUCCGGACAAACAAUGCAACGCAAACACUAUUUCGUAGGUCGGAUUGGAUUGUACAUCGAACGAAAAGAGAAAAGUUGGAUAAGGACAAUGAGUUUGCGAGCAGUGAUUUUCAUUGGCCUGUUAAACAUAAUCAUCAUUAAGACGAAUCUGCGUGCCUUCUUAUCCGGAAGACGAUACCACUCCAGUUCACAAGAAGUAACUGCUACCUUCUCCGCCUAUUAUUACAAAGAGAAAGAUGAUAUUUACGAACUUUUGCAGCAAGACAUCCUAGAUGAGCGAUUCCAGACGUAUUAAGAUGUGUACAUCAGGCGCUCACAUUUAUGAAACAUACAAGGAUGUAAUUGCAUGUACCUAAUCGAAGAAACAAUUUGCAUAAGACAAACAUGCAACCUUAAUUAUGAAAGAUGAAGAUAACGUUAAUAAUCCGCGUAUAUUAGCAGUGCUAGCGAUGAUAAACUUGAAUCCUCAUAUUUCGACUAGAGCAACUGCAACGUAAUUUAGGAGUUCCUUAUGUCACUUUCCUUAUGUCACUGUGUGGAGGAUUUUACAAGGACAUAAAUUCCAUCCCUACCAUAUCACUUUAACCCAAGAUUAUGUUCUCUUCAGUGACGAAAACUCAUUUUAUAACAAUGGACAACUCAAUAGGCAUAAAUGUAUUUAUUGAUCCACAUACAAUCCUCACUGGACUCAACGUGUUGAUAAUCAACAUCGUUAGAAUUUAAAUACUUGAAUAAAUUGCCUGAGCUUUUAGAAGAGGUUGAUUUUGCUACUCGACAAAAAAUAUGGCAGCAAGACGAUGCACCACCCCAUUCUCAUCGUAUUGUGAUGGAAUAUCUCAAUAACAUCUUUCAUGAAAGACGAACAGGGAGGUAUGGAUAUAUUCGGUGACAUCCAUGGUUUCCUGAUUUAACUUCGUGUGAUUUUUUUGUGGGGCUACAUAAAAAAUAUUGUUUACAAAACUCCGCCGACAUCUGCAGGAGACAUGAAAAAUUGAAUAACUAAUGUUUGUUGUAGCAUUCCUCAAAAUAUUUUAAUUUCAACAGUAGAAAAUUUUGAGAAACGAUUGAAACUAUGUCUGUAAGAAAAUAGAGCUCCAUUUGAACAUCUUAUCAAAGGCUAAAAACAUAUUUGAAUUGAUCUUGCUUUAAUUGGUCGCAUCAGUGAUCAGUCUUGCCUUAAUUUUCAAGCUCCAUAACUCGGAAAGUACUCAAUAAAAGGUAACUUUAUUAUAGUGUUUUGGAAAGCUCUAGUGAUAAGCUACAAGAAUAUGUAAUAAAAAAAUAGGGGUUUCCGUUU